ACACCUCCAAAUUGAAUCGAAGCCACAGAGAAAGUUUUCAAUUAAUUGAGAAGCUACAGUUUUUGCUUUAAGAAUUGAAGGCUUCUUAUUAUUCUCUCUUCCUGUUCUUGUUUGAUUUUUGUAGGGUAAUUGAAAGAGUCGUUGGAGCAACGGCUACAUGUACUGGAAGAUGAGGAAAAGUCAGCUGGUUUUUGGUGUCAGCUGGGUUUUGGCUUUUUUCAAUACAUGUAGGAAUGGCUUCUUUGUAGGAGAAAUGGCAUUUUGCCAUUUUCCCCGUUGGAGUGAGUUAAAUAGAGAUAAAAAGCCAAAAAAAAUGCAUUUUUUCAGUUUAGCUUUUCAUUUAGCGUUAUCGUUGGAGAUGC
rnacentral:lncRNA from 1 species